GUUGUAUGGUUAAGUGACUAAGCGUACACGGUGGAUGCCUUGGCAGUCAGAGGCGAUGAAAGACGUAGUAACUUGCGAUAAGCCCAGAUUAGGUAGUAACAACCAUUUGAGUCUGGGAUUUCUGAAUGGGGAAACCCACUAGCAUAAGCUAGUAUCGCUGCGUGAAUACAUAGCGCAGCGAGGCGAACCGGGGGAACUGAAACAUCUAAGUACCCCGAGGAAAAGAAAUCAACCGAGAUUCCGAAAGUAGCGGCGAGCGAAAUUGGACUAGCCCUUAAGCUUUACACGCGUUAGACGA
rnacentral:rRNA from 1 species